UACGUAGGGGGCGAGCGUUGUCCGGAAUCAUUGGGCGUAAAGCGCGUGUAGGCGGCCCGGUAAGUCCGCUGUGAAAGUCCAGGGCUCAACCCUGGGAUGCCGGUGGAUACUGUCGGGCUAGAGUCCGGAAGAGGAGAGUGGAAUUCCUGGUGUAGCGGUGAAAUGCGCAGAUAUCAGGAAGAACACCCGUGGCGAAGGCGGCUCUCUGGGACGGUACUGACGCUGAGACGCGAAAGCGUGGGGAGCAAACAGG
rnacentral:rRNA from 1 species